AGAGGCCAAGGUUCAAGAGCCUGAGAAACAGGGCAGAAUCAGGUUUCCCUUUAGACCACAGACCACAAGUACUCCAUCCAGUGUAACAGCUGCAGAACUGUGGGUAAGCUGUUGAACCUCUCCAAGCCUACAUGUCCUUCUUUAUAAAGAGAAGAAGGUAAAAGCCUUCCUAGGGUCAUGAUGGGGACAGUGUUCUGUAGGAUGCAAAGUAUCUUCAAGCAAAGAAAAUACAUGUCAUUAUCCUAACUUGACUGAAGGAAAAGCUAAACAGUGAACUUGAGAUCAGAUGCAAAACCUGAAAUGGAGCAGAAACAGUGCCUGGCUUGCUGGUGUUCAAAAAAAAACCCUUGCCUGGGUGUCAGACAGGGCUGUUCACUACACCAAACCAGGUAGGAGAUGCGGGAUUCGUGGAGUAGAACACAAAAGCCCAGUUCACUGAGUAUAAAGAAGGAAAAUUAACAGCCCACCUGUUCCAGAGCUCGCCAGCUUCCUUCCAGCUUAGUCAAACAGGAUAUUUUGUUGUUUUUUGUUCUAAAACCAGAAAUCUACCUACUACUGUUACUGCUGCUGCCUGUCAUCUGCCACACUCAAAAUGAGCCUGAGGUAGGCAGGUGUUUUCAUGCUUCACUCUCAGGGUAGGAGUGGAACUGGGAGAAGGGCAAUGAACAAGAAUGAGGUCCUGGCCUCUUAUCCCCAACUGAAGAUCACCUUAGCUACAAAGUCUCCAUUAUCAGUGUAGAGAAAUGUGGUUAGCAGACAUGGACAAAUCACCAAAGCAGCUGUAACUGUUCCUGGUAGGACGUUAUUUCUAGACUUAUCAGCCUGAACUGUGCUUUAAGGACUGGAACUGGGUAGACAUGCCAUCACCAUUCCCUGGACAAACCAACAAAUGAAGAAGCAAGCAUAAAGCGGCAAUCCUACAACCACAUACUUGGUAGUUUCCUCCUGGAAUCCGGAGUUAUGGUGUUAGAGUGCUUUAUUUUACCACGAUUUUUUCAGGUCAUCCCAGCCUUAAAAAGGUGCAUGUCUUUGUGACUUCCUCCUGACUCAAGAUAAGCUACUAACUUAUCGGUAAACUUCUCUAUCCUAACACUUAAACUUCAAAGUUUGGGAUCCGCAUUCAUCUUCUCUCUGUAUUCAGCUGCAUGAUUCUCAGUGUUCCAAGUGCCAUAAACAUCAAAGUCUCUUUGACUGUUUCUUUCUCAAAAUUUCAAAGCCCCUUGUGAAAAUGGACUCCCAAAAUCUCCUGUCCUGAUAUCUUGGAGUUCCCAGCUCUGACAUGAUACUUAGGCCCUGAUUAGUCUGCAAGGCUAGGUUCAAAUAUAUGGCACAUAUGUAUAAACCAUGAGAGCUUGAUAGCUGCAUUUCUCAGUGCCAGCCUCUCUUUGUAACAGAGAAAAUGCACACACAGUCCACAAGAGAUGCUGAGACAAUUAUCUCAGCAUAACCAGAGAAUAGGGAUUCCUUUAAACCCCCUGUAUUCUUUGAUAGCAUUAAAUCCAUGGUUCCCAGGAUCACUGGCAUUACCAAGUCAUAUUGUAGCCAAUCUAUAUUUCCCUGCUGCCUAAAGACCAGCCAAGAGCUGUCUUCACCCUUCCACCAUUCUUUCUUUCUAGAAACUAGAACAAUUGCAUGACAUGCUGUAACUGACCAGUGACUACUUGGUUAGAGGACAUUUUGAGGGACACCUUUCAGUUCUGCAAAACCUAGCAAAUCAAAUCAAAACAAAUAAAAAUACAACAGCUUGGAUCAUCAGGAUAAGGGGCUAAAGCAAAAAAUAUCUAAUUUUGACAGGUAGAUGGAAUUGUUACUUUAGAUUUUGGCAAAUUUAUAAGAGGAAAAGUAAACUCGUGGUCUUCAUAGGAAGUCAAUGGUUGUAUAUUACAAUGUGGACCAAUUUCACCCAGAUAGAAUUCCUAAGUACAUUGAUACCUAAGUAAUUCUUCUUUAGGUGUCCUUAAAUCUUUAGAAAAUCAUUUCUGAUUUAUUUCCAUGUAGGUCUUACUUUUUUUUUAUUAAGUUUAUUCCUCGGUAGCUUACAGUUUUGUAAAUGUCAUCUUUUUUUCCUCAUGACAUUUUCACAAUUGCUUAUUAAUUGGGUAUAGUGUCUGGCCAACUUACUGAAUUCUCUUAUUAGUUGAAAUCAUUUUUCAGUUGAUUUGCAUGGAUUUUCUAAAUAGAAAAUUAUCACGUCUGCAAGUAAAAACAGUUUUGUCUGUUCAACAUUUAUGUUUUAUUUCUUUUUAUUAUUUUAUACCAUUAGUGAGGAUUUUGAGCAAUAAUAGUGUGUCCUUAUUGUCUUUGUUUCUGAUUUCGAACUGGUGAUUCACCAUUGAGUAUGAUAUUUGCAUAGGGUUUCUUUCCUUUAUUAAAAUAAAGCUGUUUUCAUUUUGAGUUCUAUUUUAAGUUUUCUAAUCAUUAAUGGGUCUUUAAUUCAUUAAAAUUUUCUUCAAAAUCUAUCAAAAUGAUGUAAUGAUUUUAUCCUCUUAAUUCUUGAUCAAAUGAAUUACAUUGAUAGAUUUCCUAAUGUUGAAAAAUGCUGGCAUUCCAAGGAUAAGCCCUACUUAAUUAAGAUGUAUUAUUCUUUUAAUGUACAAAAGAAUUUAAUUUGCUAAUGUUUUAUUUAGGAUUUGUGUACCUUUGUUCAGGAAUGUGAUUGAUGUACAGUUUUCUUUUCCCACAUUAUCCUUUGUUUAGUCUUGGUAUAUGGUUAUGCAAUCCUCAUAGAUGAGUAGAGAAGCUUCUCAUUUUAUUCUAUGUUCUGAAAGAAGUGAUACAGUCCCCAAAUUAUCUGUUAUUGGUGAUCUGAGCCUUCUGGCUAGCUUUGAUUAACUUUGUAAUGUUUCUGUAAUUACCUCUUUUCAAUCAGUGUUAGAAUUUAUAUUUACCUAGAAACUUAUCCAUUUUUUAAUGUAGAUUUUCGAAUUGACUGUAAUGAAGUUGAACAUGAUAUCUUUUAAUGUUUUAAAUCUCCUAACAGGAUCUUAGUCUCCUUUCUUGUUUCUAACAUUGUUUUGUGAAUGUCCUCCUUUUUCAUAAUUGCAGCCUUGAUCAAUUUUUCUUUUUUGCUUUUACUCUAUUAAUUCCUGCAUUUCAUAUGUUUAUGUAUUCUUUCUAUUUUUUUGGUGAGGGAUUACCCUAUUAUUUGUCACUAGCUUCUUAAUGCAUAAGUUUAAUGCAUUUUUAUAAACGUUUCUCAUUGUCAAAUUAGGACGUUUAAAGCUGUAAAAUGUCCUCUGAAUAUAAUUUGGUAUACAA
rnacentral:lncRNA from 10 species